CAGCAGCCGCCACGGUAAUACGAAGGGUGCAAGCGUUAAUCGGAAUUACUGGGCGUAAAGCGUGCGUAGGCGGUGAGUUAAGUCUGCUGUGAAAUCCCCGGGCUCAACCUGGGAAUGGCAGUGGAUACUGGCUCGCUAGAGUGUGUCAGAGGAUGGUGGAAUUCCCGGUGUAGCGGUGAAAUGCGUAGAGAUCGGGAGGAACAUCAGUGGCGAAGGCGGCCAUCUGGGACAACACUGACGCUGAGGCACGAAAGCGAGGGGAGCAAACAGGAUUAGAUACCCGCGUAGUCCCUGUCUCUUAUAA
rnacentral:rRNA from 1 species